UCCACCUAGAGUUUGAUCCUGGCUCAGUGCGCCUGGAUCACCUCCUUAGAGUUUGAUCCUGGCUCAUUGUGCCUGGCUCACCGCCUUUGGGUUUGAUCCCGGGGGGAUGAGGCUGGGAAACCCGGAUUAAUACCGCAUACGUCCUACGGGAGAAAGCAGGGGAUCUUCGGACCUUGCGCUACUGGAUGAGCCUAAGUCGGAUUAGCUAGUUGGUGGGGUAAAGGCCUACCAAGGCGACGAUCCGUAGCUGGUCUGAGAGGAUGAUCAGCCACAUCGGGACUGAGACACGGCCCGAACUCCUACGGGAGGCAGCAGUGGGGAAUAUUGGACAAUGGGGGCAACCCUGAUCCAGCCAUGCCGCGUGUGUGAAGAAGGCUUUCGGGUUGUAAAGCACUUUCAGCGAGGAGGAAGGCUCUGAAGUUAAUACCUUCAGGGAUUGACGUUACUCGCAAAAAAAGCACCGGCUAACUCCGUGCCAGCAGCCGCGGUAAUACGGAGGGUGCAAGCGUUAAUCGGAAUUACUGGGCGUAAAGCGCGCGUAGGUGGUUAGGUAAGCGAGAUGUGAAAGCCCCGGGCUUAACCUGGGAACGGCAUUUCGAACUGUCUGACUAGAGUGUGGUAGAGGGUAGUGGAAUUUCCUGUGUAGCGGUGAAAUGCGUAAAUAUAAGAAGGAACACCCGUGGCGAAGGCGGCUACCUGGACCAACACUGACACUGAGGUGCGAAAGCGUGGGGAGCAAACAGGAUUAGAUACCCCUGGUAGUCCCCGCCGUAAAACGAUGUCAACUAGCCCGUUGGGACUCUUGAAGUCUUAGUGGCGCAGCUAACGCACUAAGUUGACCCCCUGGGGAGUACGGCCGCAAGGUUAAAACUCAAAUGAAUUGACGGGGGCCCGCACAAGCGGUGGAGCAUGUGGUUUAAUUCGACGCAACGCGAAGAACCUUACCUGGCCUUGACAUCCAGAGAACUUUCCAGAGAUGGAUUGGUGCCUUCGGGAACUCUGAGACAGGUGCUGCAUGGCCGUCGUCAGCUCGUGUCGUGAGAUGUUGGGUUAAGUCCCGUAACGAGCGCAACCCCUAUCCCUGGUUGCUAGCAGGUAAUGCUGAGAACUCCAGGGAGACUGCCGGUGACAAACCGGAGGAAGGUGGGGAUGACGUCAGGUCAUCAUGGCCCUUACGGCCAGGGCUACACACGUGCUACAAUGGCGCGUACAGAGGGCUGCCAACUCGCGAGAGUGCGCCAAUCCCUUAAAACGCGUCGUAGUCCGGAUCGGAGUCUGCAACUCGACUCCGUGAAGUCGGAAUCGCUAGUAAUCGCGAAUCAGAAUGUCGCGGUGAAUACGUUCCCGGGCCUUGUACACACCGCCCGUCACACCAUGCUCCUGGAUUUUUGCAGAAGGAUCAGGUCGGUUGGAUCACCUCCUGAGAGUUUGAUCCUGGCUCAGUGCGGCUGGAUCACCUCCUUAGAGCUGCCCGC
rnacentral:rRNA from 2 species